rnacentral:snoRNA from 1 species
UGAUGAUGGUGAGGUUAAUUCCUGAGCAUACUCUUAAAUCUCUCCCAAGCUUGGUGGAGAUUCUCUCUCUUUCUGUCUGAAACUUAGAAUCUCGUUUCUCAAAUG